rnacentral:rRNA from 4 species
AAAAAAGGUAAGCUACUAAGAGCGAAUGGUGGAUGCCUUGACUGGUAAAGGCGAUGAAGGACGUACUAGACUGCGAUAAGCUACGGGGAGCUGUCAAGAAGCUUUGAUCCGUAGAUUUCCGAAUGGGGCAACCCAAUGUAUAGAGAUAUACAUUACCUAUAUAGGAGCGAACGAGGGGAAUUGAAACAUCUUAGUACCCUCAGGAAAAGAAAUCAAUAGAGAUUGCGUCAGUAGCGGCGAGCGAAAGCGCAAGAGGGCAAACCCAGUGCUUGCACUGGGGGUUGUAGGACUGCAAUGUGCAAGAGGUAAGUUUAGCAGAACAUUCUGGAAAGUAUAACCAUAGAGGGUGAUAGUCCCGUAUGCGAAAAACAAACCUUAGCUAGCAGUAUCCUGAGUAGGGCGGGACACGAGGAAUCCUGUCUGAAUCCGGGUCGACCACGAUCCAACCCUAAAUACUAAUACCAGAUCGAUAGUGCACAAGUACCGUGAGGGAAAGGUGAAAAGAACUGAGGUGAUCAGAGUGAAAUAGAACCUGAAACCAUUUGCUUACAAUCAUUCAGAGCCCUAUGUAGCAAUACAGGGUGAUGGACUGCCUUUUGCAUAAUGAGCCUGCGAGUUGUGGUGUCUGGCAAGGUUAAGCAAACGCGAAGCCGUAGCGAAAGCGAGUCUGAAUAGGGCGCUUAGUCAGAUGCUGCAGACCCGAAACGAAGUGAUCUAUCCAUGAGCAAGUUGAAGCUAGUGUAAGAACUAGUGGAGGACUGAACCCAUAGGCGUUGAAAAGCCCCGGGAUGACUUGUGGAUAGGGGUGAAAGGCCAAUCAAACUUCGUGAUAGCUGGUUCUCUCCGAAAUAUAUUUAGGUAUAGCGUUGUGUCGUAAUAUAAGGGGGUAGAGCACUGAAUGGGCUAGGGCAUACACCAAUGUACCAAACCCUAUCAAACUCCGAAUACCUUAUAUGUAAUCACAGCAGUCAGGCGGCGAGUGAUAAAAUCCGUCGUCAAGAGGGAAACAACCCAGACUACCAGCUAAGGUCCCUAAAUCUUACUUAAGUGGAAAACGAUGUGAAGUUACUUAAACAACCAGGAGGUUGGCUUAGAAGCAGCCAUCCUUUAAAGAAAGCGUAAUAGCUCACUGGUCUAGUGAUUUUGCGCGGAAAAUAUAACGGGGCUAAAGUAAGUACCGAAGCUGUAGACUUGCACACAACUUAGAUUAUUUAAGUUUAGAAUAUGAGAAACUAAGUUAUAUGUUUAGUUAUAUUUUUACUGAUUUUUAUAGAGUAAAGAUAGAAAUAAAACUUAGUAAAAUCAGUAAAAAUAUUCUUAGACUAAAGUUAAGUAGUUUAAGUUGUGUGCAAGUGGUAGGAGAGCGUUCUAUUUGCGUCGAAGGUAUACCGGUAAGGAGUGCUGGAGCGAAUAGAAGUGAGCAUGCAGGCAUGAGUAGCGAUAAUUAAUGUGAGAAUCAUUAACGCCGUAAACCCAAGGUUUCCUACGCGAUGCUCGUCAUCGUAGGGUUAGUCGGGUCCUAAGUCGAGUCCGAAAGGGGUAGACGAUGGCAAAUUGGUUAAUAUUCCAAUACCAACAUUAGUGUGCGAUGGAAGGACGCUUAGGGCUAAGGGGGCUAGCGGAUGGAAGUGCUAGUCUAAGGUCGUAGGAGGUUAUACAGGCAAAUCCGUAUAACAAUACUCCGAGAACUGAAAGGCUUUUUGAAGUCUUCGGAUGGAUAGAAGAACCCCUGAUGCCGUCGAGCCAAGAAAAGUUUCUAAGUUUAGCUAAUGUUGCCCGUACCGUAAACCGACACAGGUGGGUGGGAUGAGUAUUCUAAGGCGCGUGGAAGAACUCUCUUUAAGGAACUCUGCAAAAUAGCACCGUAUCUUCGGUAUAAGGUGUGGUUAGCUUUGUAUUAGGAUUUACUCCGAAAGCAAGGAAACUUACAACAAAGAGUCCCUCCCGACUGUUUACCAAAAACACAGCACUCUGCUAACUCGUAAGAGGAUGUAUAGGGUGUGACGCCUGCCCGGUGCUCGAAGGUUAAUUGAUGGGGUUAGCAUUAGCGAAGCUCUUGAUCGAAGCCCGAGUAAACGGCGGCCGUAACUAUAACGGUCCUAAGGUAGCGAAAUUCCUUGUCGGUUAAAUACCGACCUGCAUGAAUGGCGUAACGAGAUGGGAGCUGUCUCAAAGAGGGAUCCAGUGAAAUUGUAGUGGAGGUGAAAAUUCCUCCUACCCGCGGCAAGACGGAAAGACCCCGUGGACCUUUACUACAGCUUGACACUGCUACUUGGAUAAGAAUGUGCAGGAUAGGUGGGAGGCUUUGAGUAUAUGACGCCAGUUGUAUAUGAGCCAUUGUUGAGAUACCACUCUUUCUUAUUUGGGUAGCUAACCAGCUUGAGUUAUCCUCAAGUGGGACAAUGUCUGGUGGGUAGUUUGACUGGGGCGGUCGCCUCCCAAAUAAUAACGGAGGCUUACAAAGGUUGGCUCAGAACGGUUGGAAAUCGUUCGUAGAGUAUAAAGGUAUAAGCCAGCUUAACUGCAAGACAUACAAGUCAAGCAGAGACGAAAGUCGGUCUUAGUGAUCCGGUGGUUCUGUGUGGAAGGGCCAUCGCUCAAAGGAUAAAAGGUACCCCGGGGAUAACAGGCUGAUCUCCCCCAAGAGCUCACAUCGACGGGGAGGUUUGGCACCUCGAUGUCGGCUCAUCGCAUCCUGGGGCUGGAGCAGGUCCCAAGGGUAUGGCUGUUCGCCAUUUAAAGCGGUACGCGAGCUGGGUUCAGAACGUCGUGAGACAGUUCGGUCCCUAUCUGCCGUGGGCGUAAGAAGAUUGAAGAGAUUUGACCCUAGUACGAGAGGACCGGGUUGAACAAACCACUGGUGUAGCUGUUGUUCUGCCAAGAGCAUCGCAGCGUAGCUAAGUUUGGAAAGGAUAAACGCUGAAAGCAUCUAAGCGUGAAGCCAACUCUAAGAUGAAUCUUCUCUAAGCUCUCUAGAAGACUACUAGUUUGAUAGGCUGGGUGUGUAAUGGAUGAAAGUCCUUUAGCUGACCAGUACUAAUAGAGCGUUUGGCUUAUCUUUAAUAAAGCAU